rnacentral:rRNA from 1 species
GAUGAACGCUGGCGGCGUGCUUAACACAUGCAAGUCGAACGGUGAAGCAGGAGCUUGCUCCUGUGGAUCAGUGGCGAACGGGUGAGUAACACGUGAGCAAUCUGCCCUGGACUCUGGGAUAAGCGUUGGAAACGACGUCUAAUACCGGAUACGAGGCGUGGGGGCAUCCCCAACGCCUGGAAAGAACUUCGGUCCAGGAUGAGCUCGCGGCCUAUCAGGUAGUUGGUGAGGUAACGGCUCACCAAGCCUACGAUGGGUAGCCGGCCUGAGAGGGUGACUGGCCACACUGGGACUGAGACACGGCCCAGACUCCUACGGGAGGCAGCAGUGGGGAAUAUUGCACAAUGGGCGCAAGCCUGAUGCAGCAACGCCGCGUGAGGGACGACGGCCUUCGGGUUGUAAACCUCUUUUAGCAGGGAAGAAGCGAAAGUGACGGUACCUGCAGAAAAAGCACCGGCUAACUACGUGCCAGCCGCCGCAGUAAUAC